AUGUCUCUUAGAAAUAAUAUUAGACACAUACGUAGAAUAUUUCUCUUUUGUGUUGAAAGUGAUAGACAUGAACUUUUCAGAGGGGAAAACAGUCAUGGAGAGUAUGGGCCCCAACCACACGCUUGGGAAGUCAUCUGGAAUCAAAAACCUUCAGAUGCUAAUUAUUCAUACCAAUUGAUUGAGGAUUUUGGAGUCAGAGACUCACCUGCAGUAUUUGAAAUACCAGUGGAACUCUACAUCAACACAGAAUUUAUACAGCAGCUGGUGCUAGUCAGAGCUAAUGAUGGAAUUUCAGCUUAAUAAAAAGACCCCCAACUGAGCACACUAUCUUGAAAAAAGUACACUUAUCAAACAGCUUUCAGUCAGUUCAAGAGAGACAUCUUAAUUGGGAAAAGAAAGAAUGGCAGAGGAGUUUGUCAUCGUGCCAAUUCCAGAUCAAUAACUGCAUGUCUGCUCUUUGGUAGACAGAGCUUUUGCUUUGUAUUAAGUAAUCACAUCUACAUCCUCUCCAUUUGGAGAAGGAGAGUUUUGUUUCAUAUAAUGGUGUGUAAUGAUGUCCUCUUUUAAUUCACCUCUGUGUCUUCAUAGCAAACAUGAAAUUUAAGAUGUAAUUAUAAAGGUCAAUAUUAUCUUUAUUAUUUGAUUGAAUUUUUUGUUUCUUGUAACAGGAGCAUAGUGCUUUCAAAUCUUUACAUGUUUGAAAAUUGUUUUGUUGAAAUAAAACUGUAUGAGCAACAUUAAAUUAUAGUCAUUUCACUAACAGAAGAAAAUUCUGAACAAUGAUAAUCUGAUUGAGAUAAGCUUAUUUUGGGAAAAAACUUUACAGGACAAUCUACUAACAAGAAAGUAACCAACAAGAAGAGAAGCUUUACUUUUGGUGGGAAGAAUUUGGAAUCCGAAACAAGAAGGCACAAUUUCUAAGGCCCAGUUUGUCUGUUUGUUAGAAGGAAGUCACUACUCAACCCAUUUUCAGUCAGGAGGAUCAUUGUGAGUUUGAGUCCAGCCCAGGCUACAAAGUGAGCUUGAGACUAGCCUGAACUACAUAGUGAGACCCAGUCUCAAAUGCACAAAGACACACACACACACACACACACACGCACGCACACAUGCACACACGAAGAGAGAGAUAGAAAAAAGAAAGAAAGAAAGAAAACCAUACACAUAAGCUCCUAGUUACAGAUCUUUGCUAUUAAGCAAAAGACUCGCCUUGUGCCCCUGGACAUGCACUGCAGGACUGGCAUUAGACCCAGUCAGAUGUCCUCUCCGUCCAAACAGGUAGGAUGUGGAAGUCUGCUCAAUUUAAGGACCAAGUGGUGGGGAUCUAAAAUGUAUUAGCUCCUCGUCUUGCUCACAAUGGGUUGACUAGAGUAUGAAAAUAGCUUGCACAGGUAACAAAGUCUGCAUUUAACAAAAAGCAAUUCCUUCGUUGCUACAGAGACUACUCAGUGUUGAAAACAUUCUCAACUUCUUUGGGUCUGCUUUGGCAUGAAAGACGGUUUUUGCUUUUCUAGAAGCCCUAAAUGUAUGUUAAUUUCCAUUGCAAAUCUUUUUGAAAGCAGAUUUUCCAGUCCUACCAAUUUGGGGGAGCAAACUUUGGUUAGACAGGUUAUUAGAAUUAUGUUUUAACAGCAUUCAUACUGAAGCCAUUCUCCUAUUCGGAUGUUCAACCAGUGGGCAGAACUCCAAGGCACGUGGGUAACAGGGAGUUUGAAGUUAUUUUCUCCAAGAGCCUGAAGAGUAGGGAUAGAGGGGGUUGGGUUGAUGGAAGGUUCUAUACUUCGCAGUUCCAACAGACACACAGCCAAAGUGGCAGCCUCUUACAGACACUGAGAAGCUUUGCCUCAUGGGUGCCACCCUCUGGGAAGCACCUGCCAGCAGGUGCUGAGAGUUUAAGUCCUCCCUCACAUUUGAUAGGAUAAUGAUGAACCUCUUUCAAUCUAAAGCCUGAAUCAUAGUCAAGAGGCAUUAGUUUGGCAUGUGUCCUUUGCCUUAUAUACUCAAAUGCACAUUUUCAUUGUAUUUAGAGAUUCCUUACACAUGCACUCCAUAUGCACAUCUUUGCAUUGAUGAAUAAAUGGAAUUACAGCAUACAUACUAUUUUUUGUGUGUGUGACUAUUUUUCUUUUAACCUUCCUCGCUUUCCAUCUCCUUUCCUGCUGCCUCUAUCCCCAUGGUAUGCACACUAUUGAAUUAGCAUGUAUCUCCAUAUAUAGUCUAUACAAUGUGUAUGUAGUCCUAGACUUAGAACUUUUGAGCCAUAUUUUAUAAAAACAGAAUUAUAACCCUUCCCCCUGAUUUUCAUCAUCACUAAGAAAUACCUCAGGGAAACCCCUCCGAGUUGAACGGUGGUACAGUUCUUCAUUUUCUACUUUUUCUAUAGCACAGGUUACUAUGGUUCACUUUGUUUUCAGCUUUUUGACAUAUUUGACAAAGCUGUGAUUAACCUUAGACAUGUGUCCCUAUGUGUACUGGGGCUUUGUCUAUGUAAGUAGAUUUCUCAAAAUAUGAAUUCUAAGGCAAAGAAGUGUAAUAAAUUUGAAUUUUAAUAAAUGUUUUAGGUAGUUUUCCAAAACACACUCAGUUCUCAUUUCUACCAGCAAUAGGGAUGGCAUCAUUUUCCCCUGGAUCCAUACCAAGAAGAAUAAUAUUAGUCUUUUAUUUUUGCCAGACCGAGAGGUUUAAGUUUCAUUCUUAUUGUUAUUUUCAUUUUCCUAACUACUAAUGAGUUUAAAUAUCUUUUUGUAAAUUUAAAAGCUGUCUGGUUUUGUUCCUCUGCAAGUUGACUAUUUUUCC
ensembl:lincRNA